UACGAAGGGGGCUAGCGUUGCUCGGAAUUACUGGGCGUAAAGCGCGCGUAGGCGGGUCGUUAAGUCGGGGGUGAAAUCCUGGAGCUCAACUCCAGAACUGCCUUCGAUACUGGCGAUCUUGAGUCCGGGAGAGGUGAGUGGAACUCCGAGUGUAGAGGUGAAAUUCGUAGAUAUUCGGAAGAACACCAGUGGCGAAGGCGGCUCACUGGCCCGGUACUGACGCUGAGGUGCGAAAGCGUGGGUAGCAAACAGG
rnacentral:rRNA from 1 species